GAUGAAGAACGUAGCGAAAUGCGAUACUUGGUGUGAAUUGCAGAAUCCCGUGAACCAUCGAGUCUUUGAACGCAAGUUGCGCCCGAAGCCAUUAGGCCGAGGGCACGCCUGCCUGGGCGUCACACGUCGUUGCCCCCCCAUCUACUCCUUCGGGAUUGCGGGGGGCGGAUGAUGGCCUCCCGUGCGCCUCGUCGCGCGGUUGGCAUAAAUGCCAAGUCCUCGGCGACGCACGCCACGACAAUCGGUGGUUGCGAAACCUCGGUUGCCCGUCGUGUGCGGUCGUCGCGAAUCGAGGGCUCGAAAAAAUUGCCGGGCUCCGGCUCGGCUUUCAACGCGACCCCAGGUCAGGCGGGGUUACCCGCUGAAUUUAAGCAUAUCAAUAAGGGAGGA
rnacentral:misc_RNA from 1 species